UGGAACCAUUAAAUGCACAAGGGUGGAAACUGGCAGUGGAUAAUCCAAAUUAUCCAGUAUUCAUAUUCAGGAAAAAUGCAUAUAUAGGAAACACCACAUUUCGAAAUCCUAUGGGAAAGACCACAACUGAAUCGAAACUGUGUCGGCUAACAUUUGAUCGCUGUUAUUAUUCCAUUUGAUAAUGUGUUUGCUUCCUAGUUUCCUAAGUGAUGUGGUUGACUUAGAUACAUAUUACACAAGAAAGCAAGAUCAUAUUGCACGAGCAGCUCAUCUACCAACAUUUGUUGCCUUAUUGGAAUAUACAUAUAUGGAUCCUAUAAUAUGUUGGUGAAUCAGUUUAGUCUGUCUUGUUUGCAGCUAGUGCACUUCCAGAUGACCAAACAGAAGCGACGAGCGGGAACGGAUUGAAAAUGCCUGGGGAGUUGUUACAUUUAGUGGAACAUGGACAGUAGGUGGUGCACUUGCAAUUGUCCCGGGCAUUUGGUGACCACCUGUUGAAGCAGUUUGUUGUUGCAGAGCCCGAGAUUCAGCAUGCUGUUGCAUUUGUGUAGGAGGAGGUAGGCCCUGAGGCUACAGCCCGGAAGCUGACAAAGAUCGCUUAUAGGCGUGGGAGCUAUGACAAUAUAACAUGCAUUGUUGUAGAAUUUCAUCAUGACAGUUUUGGCAAUGGUUCUCGCCCCGUUAAGUGGCCAAAUUUGAUUUCAUGUGCUUUCUUGUUUGUUUUUAACUUACUCUGGCAUCAUUUGUAUUGAUAAGGUCGAAACAUGGCCUUUUCAUUGGUACCUGUUGUGCUCUUUUCUCCGGCUUCCUUGU